CCUCGCAUUGCUCUCCUUCCCCUUCUUCUCACCAGCGUCAUCCUCAUUCUGCGCCUCGGGCCCGAUCGCAUUGGCCGGUUUGCUUCUCUUCGCGUUCGAAUCGCGCUCUUCGAUCUGAAAAGCGAGAAAUUGGAGUAAUCACAGUUUGCUGAAAGGAAAAAAGAAAAAAAAAAAAAGUUGAAAUUUUGGAACCGAACCGAAUGAGGAGUACCUGCUGCGCCUUUGUAGUAGUAGUGGUAAUAGUUGUUGUUGUUGUUGUAGUAGUAGUAGGAGCAGGGGAGGGGGGGAAAGGAGGCUCCUUUUGCUUACCCUUUGGGCCCCCUUUCCUCUUCCUCGCAUUGCCGGGUUUCGGGGCGCCGUCGGGGACCGACGACGAGGACUCAUCCUCGUCGUCCGGCCCGGCGGCGAGGAGCGAGCGGCUGCUGGAGGCGCGGGAGAGCCUGCCGGGGGUGUCGGCGCCGCCGAAUUGUUGCGGGGGCGCGGCGGGGCGGGCGGCGCCGAAGCAGGAGGUGGCGGCGGGGGCGAAGGGGGG
rnacentral:lncRNA from 1 species